rnacentral:rRNA from 1 species
GUGAGGAAUAUUGGUCAAUGGGCGGAAGCCUGAACCAGCCAUGCCGCGUGAUGGAAGGAGGCCCUAUGGGUCGUAAACAUCUUUUGUGCGGGAGCAAUAAGGGCCACGCGUGGUCCGAUGAGAGUACCGUACGAAUAAGCAUCGGCUAACUCCGUGCCAGCAGCCGCGGUAAUACGGAGGAUGCAAGCGUUAUCCGGAUUUAUUGGGUUUAAAGGGUGCGUAGGCUGUUUUCCAAGUCAGCGGUGAAAUGCCGGGGCUCAACCCCGGAACUGCCAUUGAUACUGGGAGGCUUGAAUGCGGAUGCCGUGGGAGGAAUGAGUAGUGUAGCGGUGAAAUGCAUAGAUAUUACUCAGAACACCGAUUGCGAAGGCAUCUCACGAAUCCGCUAUUGACGCUGAGGCACGAAAGCGUGGGGAUCAAACAGG